GCGCCACACAAUCCGUUAAUUCGCAACGGGCACUGAUUGUGAAGUGAUGUUGGAAACAAGAGGUUCAUACAAUAACGAAAAUUUAACAACACAAAGAUAUAGAAAGAAAAUAAAGAAACUCAAUAGAUGCAGUCAACUUCGAAAAGGUAUGAGUUGGAUGAUCUUCAGCAGCUUCCUUCAAGAUGGUAUGGUAAGGAAUGGAUAUCCAGUGGUAUUGAAGUUAUUAAAAUGUGCUCAGAAUUUUAGGACCAAGAAUUUCAUUAAAAAAAAAAUGGUUCCCCCCCCCCAAACUUUCCAAAAUGUCUAUCUACGCUGAUUUACACUCGUCGUUGCUUUUCUUCACCAACGGCGGAGAGAAUUGUCACCAAAACCAAAGAGACCGAGUUUUCAAAACCCGUCCGAAUUUAUACUCGACUC